GCGUAUACUGCAGUCGAACGAGGCUGCGUAUAUGAUUGGUGCUUGCAUCAUGAUUUACAUUUGAGUGAGUGGCGAACUGGUGAGUAACACGUGGGAAACCUGCCCAGAAGCGGGGGAUAACACCUGGAAACAGAUGCUAAUACCGCAUAACAACUUGGACCGCAUGGUCCGAGUUUGAAAGAUGGCUUCGGCUAUCACUUUUGGAUGGUCCCGCGGCGUAUUAGCUAGAUGGUGGGGUAACGGCUCACCAUGGCAAUGAUACGUAGCCGACCUGAGAGGGUAAUCGGCCACAUUGGGACUGAGACACGGCCCAAACUCCUACGGGAGGCAGCAGUAGGGAAUCUUCCACAAUGGACGAAAGUCUGAUGGAGCAACGCCGCGUGAGUGAAGAAGGGUUUCGGCUCGUAAAACUCUGUUGUUAAAGAAGAACAUAUCUGAGAGUAACUGUUCAGGUAUUGACGGUAUUUAACCAGAAAGCCACGGCUAACUACGUGCCAGCAGCCGCGGUAAUACGUAGGUGGCAAGCGUUGUCCGGAUUUAUUGGGCGUAAAGCGAGCGCAGGCGGUUUUUUAACUCUGAUGUGAAAAGC
rnacentral:rRNA from 2 species